GACGGAAAUAAGGUCGGGAAGACAGCCCAUCGCUGGAACUUGCUCCACUCGUCACAUUUCUCUUUCAAAGGAGCACUACCUUUUGGCUGCGGAUUUCACUUUAGUAGAGAGGUCUCUUAACUCGAAGGAGGAUUGAUGGUGAAACUAGAUAGAGGAGAUCAAAUGUAGAACGCAACUAAUUCAGGCCAGGGGAAAGAAAGAUUAAACCAAACCAACAUAAGUUGGUACGAGUCAAACCCAAGCCCAGAUCGUGCUUGGUUCAAAAUCCAGGUAUUUCCUCCAGGCUGUACCAAGGCAAAUGGUCAAAUGGAAAUGUGUUCCGCAACACGAUUUUGACAUACCCUCCUUGGGUGAUCAUCCAUUUGCCAGGUUUUUCUUCUCCCCCGUUCUUUUUCCUGGCGGUCUUGUUGUUCAUUUUCUCAAAAGGGGCGCAAAAGUAAGCCUGUAGAUACCUCCGCGAGGCUCCGUUUGACUAGCCCUGUAUCUAAUGCUCACUUUGCAGUGUAACUAUUAUAUCUCUAGCUUUUACUGGUGUUCAGGGGUCACUGAAUAAAUCUAAAACAUGCAUGAGUUGUUGAACAAUUACUCGAUGUCAAGUAACCAAAUUGAAGGAACAUAACUUCUUGUUUGAAUUUGUUUUAACAUUGAAUUUGGCAUCUCUGUGUCAACAGCAAGAAAUGGCGACAGGAUGUUGAAUCUCACAAGCUUUAUACCCCAUCUUCAUUUAUUUCAGAAAAAAUGUUUUGAUUGAGCAAUUUUAAGCUCCCUAAUUUGUUUGAAUUGUCAGGCACGCCACAGAUAUAUAUAUAUAUAUAUAUAUAUAUAUAUAUAUAUAUAUGUGCAUC